ACUACGGGAGGCAGCAGUGAGGAAUAUUGGUCAAUGGCCGGAAGGCUGAACCAGCCAUGCCGCGUGAAGGUCAGUGCCCUAUGGGCGUUAAACUUCUUUUGUGCGGGAGCAAUAAUGGUCACGUGUGGCCAGACGAGAGUACCGUACGAAUAAGCAUCGGCUAACUCCGGUCCAGCAGCCGCGGUAAUACGGGGGAUGCAAGCGUUAUCCGGAUUUAUUGGGGUUAAAGGGUGCGUAGGGUGUGAGGUAAAUAAGCGGUGAAAUGCCCCCGGUCAACGGGGUGAAGUGCCAUUGAUACUGGCUGGCUGGAGUGCGGAUGACGUGGGAGGAAUGUGGGGUGUAGCGGUGAAAUGCAUAGAUAUCACACAGAACACCGAUUGCGAAGGCAUCUCACGAAUCCGCGAUUGACGCUGAUGCACGAAAGCGUGGGUAUCAAACAGGAUUAGAUACCCCGGUAGUC
rnacentral:rRNA from 1 species